CCACAGGUGUGGAGGGGCAGGCCACCCCUUCAGGCAGGGCUGGGGGCUUUGAGGUCCAGGUGUGGCUGUGUGAAAGCCCCCAGGCUGGUGUGCAUGCCUGCCCAGUCCUGCGCGUAUCUUAACACCUGCCCUCCGUGCCUCUGCGCCCACAGGCCAUGUCGAAGGACGCCGUGAAUCUGGUGCAGAUGCAGGAGCCGACGUUGCAGCCGGAGCAACAGUCCAAGCUCAAACAACUUGUCAAUGAGGAGAACUUACGGAAGCAGGAGGAGUCGGUGCAGAAACACCAUCAGACCUUCUUGGCGUCCAUCAGGACGGCUGUCACCGUGUUUGGGGAAAGAUUCUGGGCCUUUGUGACAGAGCGGGACGCAGUGACAGCCACGGU